UGAGGAAUAUUGGUCAAUGGACGCAAGUCUGAACCAGCCAUGCCGCGUGCAGGAAGACGGCUCUAUGAGUUGUAAACUGCUUUUGUACGAGGGUAAAUCCCGAUACGUGUAUCGGGUUGAAAGUAUCGUACGAAUAAGGAUCGGCUAACUCCGUGCCAGCAGCCGCGGUAAUACGGAGGAUUCAAGCGUUAUCCGGAUUUAUUGGGUUUAAAGGGUGCGUAGGCGGUUCGAUAAGUUAGAGGUGAAAUCCCGGGGCUCAACUCCGGCAUUGCCUCUGAUACUGUCGGGCUAGAGUUUAGUUGC
rnacentral:rRNA from 1 species